UGCCGAGACGAGGAAAAAAAAAACCUCCACAGACA
rnacentral:tRNA from 1 species